rnacentral:rRNA from 1 species
AUGGAAAAUCGAAGGAUGUCAACUUUAGUUGACAAGCAUGACAACUUCAUGCUUAAGUAUAUUUUUGACAGAAGCUUGCCUUCUGUCGCCGGAAUUUGUCAACCUUGCGUGAUUGAAAUUGCCACCGAAAGACGUCAGGGCCCGAGUGCUAUGCACCUGACGUGUGGCACUUGCCAUUUGGGAAAACUUACCGUGAGCUCUACAAAGCACCUGAAUUGUAGCCAGAGUAGGGUUGGCAAAGAGGACUGCGGUGUUCACCUCAAGAGUCAAGACUUCUUACAGUUUGGCCUAUUUUCAGACUCGACGAGUCCCACUCCGGUACAGUUGAAGCGCUGCUGA